rnacentral:rRNA from 1 species
CAAAGGGAAGCGAGCAUGUGAAUGUGAGCAAAUCCCAAAAAUAACGUCUCAGUUCGGAUUGUAGUCUGCAACUCGACUACAUGAAGCUGGAAUCGCUAGUAAUCGCGAAUCAGAAUGUCGCGGUGAAUACGUUCCCGGGUCUUGUACACACCGCCCGUCACACCAUGGGAGUCAGUAACGCCCGAAGCCGGUGACCCAACCAAACGGAGGGAGCCGUCGAAGGUGGGACCGAUAACUGGGGUGAAGUCGUAACAAGGUAUC